rnacentral:rRNA from 1 species
GAUGAACGCUGGCGGCGUGCUUAACACAUGCAAGUCGAACGAGGAAGCCCAGCUUGCUGGGUGGAUUAGUGGCGAACGGGUAAGUAACACGUGAGUAACCUGCCCCUAACUCUGGGAUAAGCCUGGGAAACUGGGUCUAAUACCGGAUAGGAGCGUGCACCGCCCGGUGGGUGUUGGCAAGAUUGAUCGGCUUUGGAGGGACUCACGGCGUAUCAGCUUGUUGGUGGGGUAAUGGCUCACCAAGGAGACGACGAGUAGCCGGCCUGAGGGGGCGACCGGCCGCACUAGGACUGAGAAGCCGCCGAGACUCCUACGGGGGGCAGCAGCAGGGAAUAAUGCACAAUAGGCGGAGGACUGAUGCAGCAGCGCCGCGUGGGGGAGGACGGCCUUCGGGUUGUAAACCUCUUUCAGUAGGGAAGAAGCGACAGUGACGGUACCUGGAGAAGAAGCACCGGCUAACUACGUG